rnacentral:rRNA from 1 species
AGAGCGAACGCUGGCGGCAGGCCUAACACAUGCAAGUCGAGCGCGUGUAGCAAUACACGAGCGGCAGACGGGAGAGUAACACGUGGGAACGCGCCCUUCGGUUCGGAAUAACUCAGGGAAACUUGAGCUAAUACCGGAUACGCCCUUACGGGGAAAGAUUUAUUGCCGAGGGAACGGCCCGCGUCCGAUUAGCUAGUUGGUGAGGUAACGGCUCACCAAGGCGACGAUCGGUAGCUGGUCUGAGAGGAUGACCAGCCUCACUGGGACUGAGACACGGCCCAGACUCCUACGGGAGGCAGCAGUGGGGAAUAUUGGACAAUGGGCGCAAGCCUGAUCCAGCCAUGCCGCGUGGAUGAUGAAGGCCUUAGGGUUGUAAAGUCCUUUUAACGGGGAAGAUAAUGACGGUACCCGUAGAAUAAGCCCGGCUAACUUCGUGCCAGCAGCCGC